rnacentral:misc_RNA from 1 species
UAAUAAGUGUUUUAUGGCACUUUUUAAAUCCAUAUCCACCUUGUGUGCAAUGUCAGUCGAUCUUCUUUUAUGGAGAUCGACCAAACAUCAACCUUUAUCUUUUAACUCUUUGUCUGAAAAAUAUUACUGAAUAAACAAUUCAAAAUA